UACGGGAGGCAGCAGUGGGGAAUAUUGCACAAUGGGCGAAAGCCUGAUGCAGCUAUGCCGCGUGUAUGAAGAAGGCCUUAGGGUUGUAAAGUACUUUCAUCGGGGAGGAAAAACAAAACUAAUAAUUUUAUUUCUUGACGUUACCUGAAAAAGAAGCACCGGCUAACUCCGUGCCAGCAGCCGCGGUAAUACGGAGGGUGCUAGCGUUAAUCAGAAUUACUGGGCGUAAAGAGCACGUAGGUGGUUUUUUAAGUCAGAUGUGAAAUCCCUGGGCUUAACCUAGGAACUGCAUUUUGAAACUGAAAUACUAGAGUAUCGUAGAGGGAGGUAGAAUUCUAGGUGUAGCGGUGAAAUGCGUAGAUAUCUGGAGGAAUACCUGUGGCGAAAGCGGCCUCCUAAACGAAUACUGACACUGAGGUGCGAAAGCGUGGGGAGCAAACAGGGAUUAGAUACC
rnacentral:rRNA from 1 species